AUACGGAGGAUCCGAGCGUUAUCCGGAUUUAUUGGGUUUAAAGGGUGCGCAGGCGGCCAUUUAAGUCAGCGGUUAAAUCGUGGGGCUCAACCCCAUUCUGCCGUUGAUACUGGGUGGCUUGAUUGCGGUCGAGGUUGGCGGAAUUCGUUGUGUAGCGGUGAAAUGCAUAGAUAUGACGAAGAACACCGAUUGCGUAGGCAGCUGACCAGACCGCAAAUGACGCUCAUGCACGAAAGUGCGGGGAUCGAACAGGAUUAGAUACCCUGGUAGUCCGCACAGUAAACGAUGAAUACUUGUUUUCGGCGAUAUAAUGUCGGAGGCAAAGCGAAAGCGAUAAGUAUUCCCCCUGGGGAGUACGCCGGCACCGGUGAAACUCAAAGGAAUUGGCGGGG
rnacentral:rRNA from 1 species